rnacentral:rRNA from 1 species
AGAAUCAACGCUGGCGGCGUGCCUAACACAUGCAAGUCGCACGAGAAAGUGGAGCAAUCCACGAGUAAAGUGGCGCACGGGUGAGUAACACGUGAAUAAUCUACCUCCGAGUGGGGAAUAACUGAGAGAAAUCUUAGCUAAUACCGCAUAACACUUACGAGUCAAAGCAGCAAUGCGCUUGGAGAGGAGUUCGCGGCCGAUUAGUUAGUUGGCGGGGUAAUGGCCCACCAAGACGAUGAUCGGUAUCCGGCCUGAGAGGGCGCACGGACACACUGGAACUGAAACACGGUCCAGACUCCUACGGGAGGCAGCAGUGGGGAAUUUUGCGCAAUGGGGGAAACCCUGACGCAGCAACGCCGCGUGGAGGAUGAAAUAUCUUGGUAUGUAAACUCCUUUCGAUGGGAAGAUAAUGACGGUACCAUAGAAGAAGCCCGGCUAACUUCGUGCCAGCAGCCGC